rnacentral:lncRNA from 1 species
CAAGGUAUAAGCAGACAAGGUGCCUUGGCAUAGAGUUAAUAGGGGAGGCCUCUUAAUACCCAGGCAUUCAUUCAUAAUAAACUGAUUUCUGCGGUUGUCAAGUGGAUCCCAUAUGUAUCUUGUGCGGAUAACAUUUUUAUGGACUGAUACAGGCAUGUAGUUUGGAAUUUGGAUGUGGUGCGCAACCCAUUGCAGAAAAUGACCAUUUGGAUCUUCAGCCAUGGUAAAAGGAACUCACUUCUCUCAACUAUCAUCAAUAUCUACUUUCUCUGCCAGGAACCCAAUAGAAGGCCAGUUUGGGUGCUUUUUAACCAGUUAAAUGGCGCAACGACCGUCAAAUUGUAAGUCUUUAACAAAUGCAUCUACUCAUCUGUUAAAGGAACGUGGGCUCUGUGAUAUCUGAGAAAUUUGAAUAUGCAACUGGUUGGUUGUCUAUAUAACAAACGUUUGCAUUUUCUUUAGAUGAAUAAAAAUGCUUACUGAUCCAGAAAAAAAAUUUUAAACAGAAAUAGCAAAGUUGAAUAGCAUUUCUUUUCCCAUGAAAAUCUAUUUAAACAUCUAAUGCAAUGAGAACAAAUAGGAUUUUAAAGAAUGCUUAGCUUCUUAUCCCAUUCAGUCAUAAAUGAGACAUAUAUAUAUAUAUAACAUAUAAAAUAUAACGAAGAGAAAAGAAAGUGAGAUCUUAUUCAAUUUCUGAGUACAUCACAACGUAUCACAUGUGGUAAACAUAUCAUCUGUUUCCUACAAAACUAACGAAAAAAAAAAAAAAAAAAGGUCCACGAAACACAAGUUUCCUCUGCAAUUUCUUAACACGGGUUUUGCAGGUUUAUGCAAAACCUCCACUGGCAGCUGUCCGGAUAAUCUGGAAGAGAGCUGUUAUAAAGAAUUUUAAAAAAAAAUUGUAAAUGUCUAUGUUGUUUCGACUUUCUUUUUUUUGAAAUAUGUGUUUUACACCCGUGUCCUAGACAUGGAGUAUGAGGAUAUGACCUUCAAGUAUCCUUUAAAUAGAUGAAAAAAACUUAAAAAAUCUAACCAUAUCCCUGUCAAAUACCCACAACCUAGUCCUAGUAUAGGCAAAAAGUCUCAAUUACCAAAUAUACAUUGUGAGACACUACUGCUAGAUUCUAAAUUGUAGUUAUAGGUGUUUUAAGCAAUCCCUUGAAGAUUACAACCCAAGAACUUAACUAAUAACUAUACACAAUUAACCAAGUUUUAAUCUCAAUACUAGUUGGGGUCAACUAAAAGGAGUAGAAAUGUUUACAUCAGUUACAUGAAUCCUCCUUGUUGAUCAUUUUAUUUUAUACGCCACACUUCUCUAUUCAAGUACUAAUAGUUUUAAACCGUUUUUAUCAUCUCCAACCGUCUGUUUUGUCUCCUCUUAAACCUUCUAAUGCUAUGCAGCUUGAAUUUAUUCCAUCUUUCUAAUAGGUAUAUCCCUAUUUGCAUUCCAUGUGGUCAAACCAUUGUACGAGUUUCUCUCACCUUAUUUACUAUUGAAACUGUCCCAACUUGGAGAUGAAUAUCAUCAUUUCUAACUCAACCCUUCCCAGUCUCAGAAAGUAUGAUCCAUAAGUUUUAUUCUUUUCUAAUUUGAACAAUGUUAAAUCACAUUUGUUUUUAUAUAAAAACACCAAAAUCUUCUUUCUUCAAUCAUAAGGCAUCUAAACCCAGGAACUUAACCCAAACAUAGAAUUGAUGAACACAAAAGAAAACUCAGCGAUACAAGAGCAGCAGAUAUCAUGCUAAGAUCAAUAAGGUCCAUAGGGCAUACACUUGCAUUAUGAAACAAAACCAACGAUAUUUUUGAAUAGACAAUAAAAGUAAGAGAAAGGAAAGGAAAGGAAAGGAAAAGAGAGGAAGCUUGUAGAAAAGAAGGCAUGCUCUUGUGGUUCAUCACCUUGAUUCCUUUGGAUUGUAUCAAUGACUCUAGUUUAGACAUGUAAAACACGAUGAGGAUAAGAAAAGAUAAUUUACAUCUUGAAAUAUAUUUUAAAACUCCGUUUUGAAAUUUUCAUGUAUUUCACUAAAUUGGGUAUAUAAAAAUUGAGUAAUUUAAGGAAAAACAAGAAUACACAACGCUCCUUAAAUUAAAUAAGAAUAAUAUUAUCCAAACAAAAUAAAGAGUAUAUUUUCCUUUCCUUUCCUUUUCCGUAGCAUAAAUAAAUUAGUCUUUUACUAAAGAAACCAGACACAUAAUCCAUACACAGGCACAAAGCGCAGUACACCAUGUACUUGUAUCUGAAUUAUCAGGGGCAAGCAUACCAUAUUAAUGCAAAAUUCAUGUAUUGUGUUAGCUAUAUUAAAAAGCCAACGUGAAAUAUCUAAGGGAAAUAUGAUGGUGAAAGGAUUAGCUGCCGAGAAUCUUACAUGAUCCAAUGACAACGAAUACGAAGAACCCGAGCAGCACAGGGCCCACAGGAUAGUCCUUCCCUUUCUUUGUGCUUGUUUCAGACACAACUCCUCUCUUUGUUAUGUUCUUCUGGAACUUCUCCACCUUCCUUUCUGCAAGGCGCCUUGAUGUUGUCUGCACAUACAAGAGAAAGGGGGACACCAUGUGAAAAUGAUAAUCUUUUUUCUUUAGAAAAAGAAACCAAUGUUUUUUUUAACAAAGAAUAGCGUUUUGGUGAUAUAUUUUUAACAUUGAUACUAGAUAACACGAGAAAAACAGUGAUUUAAAAUUUUGAGGAUAAAUUACAAAGCUGAAUAUGAUUUUGAUUCAGAUAACAUUUUGAUUUAUUGUAAUUUUAUACAUAAAAUUUUCAUCUUAAUACACCUUUAAUAUAUCACUAUCAAUUCUAUUUACCAACAUUAGAAUUGUAUAAUAAUUAAAUUCAUUUGUAUUUUUGUGAAAAUAUGUGUCCAAUUAAUACAAAACCAAAGUUAAUACCUACAUUUGGACCAAAUCAAAGUUUAUCACCAUUCAUAUAGAAUAAAAAAAUCAUUCCUAACUUAAAGAAAACCCAAACCAUCUGCAUUUCGGUCAUUUUAAGAGUUCAAAAUAGAUAAUAAAACGAUGAAAGGCACUACUACUUCAAGAAAUAGUGCGAUUAGCUUUUGCAUAAAAAAAACAGCUAAUUAAAUUAAGGUUCGUUGAGCUAAAUAAUUAGGAUAUUUUGAACACAUACAUCAUCAAGUAUUAAGCAUAUAAAUGCGCUAGACUGAGAUCUACAAUCGGAACAAAGAAAAAAAGUCUAGAUUAGAUCGUUUCAGAUACAAGCAGAUUAAAUGGGAAAAAAAUAAAUGAACAGAUAAAAUUGAAUAGUGAAAAUCGAAAACCGAUGAUCACAUAAACAACUUAACAGCUUUUAGAGGGGGAGAAAGAGGAAAACAAAAAAAAUACCAUAAUGAGGGGAAGAUCAGGUAGCCGGAGACAAGUGCAGCGAGAAACGGUAGGAAAAUUUUAGGCGAAUUGUUAUUUUCCCGGCGAAAGAGUUUUUCUUCUAUCGUUUUCAUACACGAUAUGCCAAACUAAUUCAUCCGCCUUUUAUAUUACAGAUAAAAGAUAAAUUUGAGGGGUCCC